rnacentral:rRNA from 1 species
UGGCGGACGGGUGAGUAAUGUCUGGGAAACUGCCCGAUGGAGGGGGAUAACUACUGGAAACGGUAGCUAAUACCGCAUAACGUCGCAAGACCAAAGAGGGGGACCUUAGGGCCUCUUGCCAUCGGAUGUGCCCAGAUGGGAUUAGCUAGUAGGUGGGGUAAAGGCUCACCUAGGCGACGAUCCCUAGCUGGUCUGAGAGGAUGACCAGCCACACUGGAACUGAGGCACGGUCCAG